AACGAACGCUGGCGGCAUGCCUAACACAUGCAAGUCGAACGAGACCUUCGGGUCUAGUGGCGCACGGGUGCGUAACGCGUGGGAACCUGCCCUUAGGUUCGGAAUAACUCCCCGAAAGGGGUGCUAAUACCGGAUAAUGUCUUCGGACCAAAGAUUUAUCGCCUUUGGAUGGGCCCGCGUUGGAUUAGCUAGUUGGUAGGGUAAAAGCCUACCAAGGCGACGAUCCAUAGCUGGUCUGAGAGGAUAAUCAGCCACACUGGGACUGAGACACGGCCCAGACUCCUACGGGAGGCAGCAGUGGGGAAUAUUGGACAAUGGGCGAAAGCAUGAUCCAGCAAUGCCGCGUGAGUGAUGAAGGCCUUAGGGUUGUAAAGCUCUUUUAACCGGGAUGAUAAUGACAGUACCGGGAGAAUAAGCUCCGGCUAACUCCGUG
rnacentral:rRNA from 1 species